rnacentral:rRNA from 1 species
AUUGAACGCUGGCGGCAGGCUUAACACAUGCAAGUCGAGCGGGGUGAUGGUGCUUGCACUAUCACUUAGCGGCGGACGGGUGUGUAAUGCUUAGGAAUCUGCCUAUUAGUGGGGGACAACAUCUCGAAAGGGAUGCUAAUACCGCAUACGUCCUACGGGGGGAAGCAGGGGAUCACUUGUGACCUUGCGCUAAUAGAUGAGCCUAAGUCGGAUUAGCUAGUUGGUGGGGUAAAGGCCUACCAAGGCGACGAUCUGUAGCGGGUCGGAGAGGAUGAUCCGCCACACUGGGACUGAGACACGGCCCAGACGCCUACGGGAGGCAGCAGUGGGGAAUAUUGGACAAUGGGCGGAAGCCUGAUCCAGCCAUGCCGCGUGUGUGAAGAAGGCCUUUUGGUUGUAAAGCACUUUAAGCGAGGAGGAGGCUACUUAGAUUAAUACUCUAGGAUAGUGGACGUUACUCGCAGAAUAAGCACCGGCUAACUCUGUGCCAGCCGCCGCGGUAA